UGAUCUGCGAUUACUAGCGACUCCGACUUCAUGGGGUCGAGUUGCAGACCCCAAUCCGAACUGAGACCGGCUUUUUGGGAUUAGCUCCACCUCACAGUAUCGCAACCCUUUGUACCGGCCAUUGUAGCAUGCGUGAAGCCCAAGACAUAAGGGGCAUGAUGAUUUGACGUCGUCCCCACCUUCCUCCGAGUUGACCCCGGCAGUCUCCUAUGAGUCCCCGCCAUAACGCGCUGGCAACAUAGAACGAGGGUUGCGCUCGUUGCGGGACUUAACCCAACAUCUCACGACACGAGCUGACGACAACCAUGCACCACCUGUAAACCGACCGCAAGCGGGGGACCUGUUUCCAGGUCUUUCCGGUUCAUGUCAAGCCUUGGUAAGGUUCUUCGCGUUGCAUCGAAUUAAUCCGCAUGCUCCGCCGCUUGUGCGGGCCCCCGUCAAUUCCUUUGAGUUUUAGCCUUGCGGCCGUACUCCCCAGGCGGGGCACUUAAUGCGUUAGCUACGGCGCGGAAAACGUGGAAUGUCCCCCACACCUAGUGCCCAACGUUUACGGCAUGGACUACCAGGGUAUCUAAUCCUGUUCGCUCCCCAUGCUUUCGCUCCUCAGCGUCAGUUAAUGCCCAGAGACCUGCCUUCGCCAUCGGUGUUCCUCCUGAUAUCUGCGCAUUUCACCGCUACACCAGGAAUUCCAGUCUCCCCUACAUCACUCUAGUCUGCCCGUACCCACCGCAGAUCCGGAGUUGAGCCCCGGACUUUCACGGCAGACGCGACAAACCGCCUACGAGCUCUUUACGCCCAAUAAUUCCGGAUAACGCUUGCGCCCUACGUAUUACCGCGGCUGCUGGCACGUAGUUAGCCGGCGCUUCUUCUGCAGGUACCGUCACUUUCGCUUCUUCCCUACUGAAAAGAGGUUUACAACCCCGAAGGCCGUCAUCCCUCACGCGGCGUCGCUGCAUCAGGCUUUCGCCCAUUGUGCAAUAUUCCCCACUGCUGCCUCCCGUAGGAGUCUGGGGCCGUGUCUCAGUUCCCAGUGUGGGCCGGUCACCCUCUCAGGGCCGGCUACCCGUCGUCCCCUUGGGUGAGCCAUUACCUCACCAACAAGCUGAUAAGGCCGCGAGUC
rnacentral:rRNA from 1 species